UUUUAUGAACCAGAGACAUUUUAAUGCUCUAUACAAAACCAAAGCUACAUAUCAAGUAUCAGAACACAAAUGCUUAAAAAUUAAAUCACAUAUAUUUAUACUUUAGAAAUCACAUUACCUAAAAUGGACACAAUGAUCUCUGAAAUGCAGAUAGGCCUGGAGAUUCCAGAUUGCUUCAGUUCAUUUGGCUGUCAAUCUUCAGAGCAUUCUCACUAACCACCUGCAUCCUCACAUAGGCCCAACAGUCUUAUGCAACUGCCAGCUUGAACCCUUAGGUUCAGCAACAGUCCCACAUGCAGGGUGUUCAGGAGCAAGUUCAUGAAGCGGUCCAAGUUCACUGAAGUCCAGGGGGGUGAGUUCUCAGGGUCUGAAUGACAUAUCCAGGAGAGUUCAUCCAUCCACUAAGCCACAAGCCCAGUUCUGUGAGACAGGAUUAUUAAGGGAGGGUGAAUUACCAGGACAAACAGGCAGGACAUGAG
rnacentral:lncRNA from 1 species